UACGUAGGGGGCAAGCGUUGUCCGGAUUUAUUGGGCGUAAAGAGCGUGUAGGCGGCCAGGUAGGUCGGUUGUGAAAACUCGAGGCUCAACCUCGAGAUGUCGACCGAAACCAUCUGGCUAGAGUCCGGAAGAGGAGAAUGGAAUUCCCGGUGUAGCGGUGAAAUGCGCAGAUAUCGGGAAGAACACCCGUGGCGAAGGCGGUUCUCUGGGACGGUACUGACGCUGAGACGCCGAAAGCGUGGGGAGCGAACAGG
rnacentral:rRNA from 1 species